rfam:Lupinus angustifolius cultivar Tanjil contig_1779, whole genome shotgun sequence.
AAGUGCGAUCAUACCAGCACUAAUGCAACGGAUCCCAUAAGAACUCUCUAGUUAAGUGUGCUUGGGCGAGAGUAGUACUAGGAUAGGUGACCUCCUACGAAGUCCUCGUGUUGCACCUC